rnacentral:lncRNA from 1 species
CGCUGCCGCCGUCCCUGAGCAGAUCCCAUCCGCUUCUCAACAACCUGCAGCCGGGUGCAGUUUCCACAAUCCAGCCAUGGAGCAGGGGCAAAGGAUUCCUCGCCACCCGAGGCGAAGACCAGCGCGGAGUGCAAAGCGGGCGGAAGGAGGGUGGAGACCCCAGUCCAGCCAACAAAAACAAAAAGUCUCUUCCCUUUCUUCUGCUACACAGCCAUGGGGACGGGUCGGGGAAAAAAAAACAACCCAAAUGCUUGUCUUCCUUUACGUUUCUUCGCUUCCCACACCCCAGCGGGGCAAAAGCUGAGCACAGAGAAAAGAGGGUUCAAAUGUCUCUCCAAGUCCACAGUUGCACAACUUCGGAGUCGGGCUCGGGCUCCGCAGCAGCCCUGGGACCAGCGCGGCUAUUAACCUGCGGCAGUCACAGCCGGGCCGCUCCGCCACCGCCGCUCGGGAACAGACGCUGCCGAGACGGAAAAUCUGCCACCAUCCCCCGCCGAUCUUUAUACCAGUUCUCCCACCCCACCCCCUUCUUUCCUCCUCUUCCUCUUUUUCCUCUUCUUCCUCGUCCUCCCCUUGCCUCAGCGCGGGAGGGAUGGAUGGCGGGGAGCCGCGAGGCCCGGGUGGCGUCUCCCCUGCGCCUCCUCCCCGCGCUCCUCCCGCUCCUCCCCCGAGCGGGGUUUCGCCCGGGUCCGGAUCCGCUCUCCGCCCGCAACCUGUGCCGGGAGCCGGCCGAGCGCCGCGCCAACUCCUCCCGGGGCGCGGCGGGGCGCGGGGCCGCCGAGGACUGUGAGCCGAGGGCUGCGGGGCCCGAGCCCAGGAGCGGGCGACUUAGCUCGCCGGCCGGGCCGGGCGGCUGCGGGCACGCGGGGGCUCCAUCGCGCGGCCCGAGCUCCGCGCCGCCUGCUCCCCGGCUUCCUCUCCUGCGACUCCGCGGAGCUCGAGGGGCCGCGCGGUGCAGAUGCGCACACACGCGCGCACACGCGCACACACGCGCGAGCUUGCCACGCGCGGCCGGCCGUGCACCCCGCGCCCGCAGCGGAGCCGAGAAGAAAGGAAGGGGAGGGGGCGAGAGACUCACAACUAAGAGUUUGCCUUGAAUCUCAGAGGAGACUUUGGACUUGGACUUUUCAGCAAUGCUACAACUGUUUAUAAUUGGAGGAAGUCUUUAUGUCUAGCCCUAUACUAAGAAGAGAUUAUACAAGGCCUUGAAUACCAGCAGAUGAUAUCAUUUGUGUCAUUUGAAGACCGCCUACCACAGAUGUUCUGAAGGAUGUUUAUGAAGAUACAUUUAUUAUAGCUUGCUCAUCCGUCUUUGAUUCAUAAACACACAAAUAUUUAACAUAGAUAUUUCUAAACACAUGCAUAUUCUUCCUGUCUUGGUGGUUUCUGUGGUAGUUAUGAAUAUCUCAAUCCUAUGUCAAGAUACCAAAUUACAGAAUUCAAGGAAUCAUCUACAGCAUUUAUCCACUGCCACUUUUAUUUUGCAGAUACAAAUUUUGAUAUAGGACAAAGGUAAAUGACUUCA